UACGAAGGGGGCUAGCGUUGCUCGGAAUCACUGGGCGUAAAGGGCGCGUAGGCGGCCAUUCAAGUCAGAGGUGAAAGCCCAAGGCUCAACCUUGGAACUGCCUUUGAUACUGUUUGGCUUGAGACCGGUAGAGGUAAGUGGAACUGCGAGUGUAGAGGUGAAAUUCGUAGAUAUUCGCAAGAACACCAGUGGCGAAGGCGGCUUACUGGACCGGUUCUGACGCUGAGGCACGAAGGCCAGGGGAGCAAACGGG
rnacentral:rRNA from 1 species